CUGUGACUUUAGCCUUUCUUCACAGUAACAAGUCAAGACCCAAGGACAUUAAUGCAUCUAAAAAUGGACUCUUCUCUAGCUCUGGCGGUUGUGCUGUUCUUUAUGUUUGGAGGAAGCUAUGGAGAGUCGGUGAUUCAGACUGAAGGCCAAAUGACACUGUCAGAGGGCGAUCCCUUGACUGUGAACUGCUCUUAUGAAACCACACGGGUCCCUGUCCUUUUCUGGUAUGUCCAAUACCCAGGUGAAGGGCUACAAAUCCUCCUGAAGGCCAUGAAGGCCAAUGAUAAGGGAAGCAACAAAGGGUUUGAAGCCUUGUACAACAAAGAAGCCACCUCCUUCCACUUGAAGAAAGUCGCAGUGCAAGAGUCAGACUCGGCUGUGUACUACUGUGCUCUGCGUGACACAGUGACAGAACUGCAGGGGGAGCUGAGCACAAACUGUGAGGCUCAGCAAGGUGCCUGAUGCUCAGCGCCUACCUCUGUGACUGACUCUGGCUUGGGGACAUUGUUGUUUCCCACCAGCUCUAGGACUCCAGAGUGAAAGUCAUUUAGAUCAACACUGACAGCACAGGCGAACAAGUGGCAGAAUAGUUAUACAAGGUGAUAAAACAGUGGAGUGCAUGCACAUACUGCUGCUAUAGUUCCUCAAAUCAAGUUCCCUUGAUAUUUGUGGCUUUAAAAGCAUAUGAUGAAUAAAAUAUGUGUGUUCGUCCUUGCAUAAAAUUUCAGACCACAACCUUGUCCCAAGUCAUCCAGGGAGAUACUGUGCUGAGAGGCAGAACUGUAAGACUUGAGCCUGCAAAUGCUGAAAAUUUCCCUGUCAAACUAGAAAAAGAAGAUUUUUUU